rnacentral:lncRNA from 1 species
GGGAAGCCAUACGAUCCCCAAACAUGCGUCUUCAUCGCUAGGAAAAACACUCGCACAAAAUAAUAUCAUAAGGACUUAUUCGUAUAACACGAAGCAUUAUAUACAAGCAUUGGGAAAAUCGCUCAAUUGAUCCUAAACCUCUAUUGUACGAAUACUAUUUCAAUAAGACUUUCUAAUAUUACCAAUUUAAUCCUACACAUUGGUGUGAAAUGCAAAUGUGGUUCUUUUAAUCAAUUUUCGCCGAAAACUGCUGACAUAGUGUGUCACGCCCCGAACCUCGAGCGCGCCAACAUCCCACCAUGGUCAUGCAAAUGCGACAUUCCCAGGUAGUGUCGCCGACCCCAUUCAUUUAUGAUUGCGCAAGCGGAACGUAUUAUAAAACCCCUGACAAUAAAAUACGGGAUAGAAAAGCAGGAAGCAAAACCACAACAUAACACUUCCAUAAUUCAACAGAAUUACAAACAGAGGUCUACAGCCAAAACUCUACAAAAGACCGGCUCUUAAAAAUGAAUUGUCCUACGACCUACAAGUCGGACACGUUCUCCAAUCUUAUGACUUCACCUCUACAACUCCUCAAGGCCAACCAAAGCUAUUUGGUCGCUCCGUCCACCAGGGACCUGAAAUUUUAAUCCCACAACCGGGAUGAGACGAUGUCUCAGCAAGUUCAACCCCCUAAACCCCUAUUAGAAAGAAAAUACGCCCAAGGGUGGCCUAGCCACAUCACACAGAGAACUUACCUCGCCUCAAUUCCUUCCUGCAGGUUAGCACAAUUUGUAUCACACAAUUUCAGGUAGUAAUAAUAAUUCAAACAAUUGGAACGCCAUCACUUUCAUAUAAAUCACGAUCGCACUUAGCACGCAUUCCAAUUAUUAUUCACUGCCACACAAGGGCAUAGCCUACUCGCGGGUCGGCUAUCUACUAACAUUACGGCAUUUCUAGAAGAAUAAAGGUCCAGUCGGUCUCGCCACUAUUGCGACCCAGCCACGUCAUUCUCUUGACGGCAUUUCUAGAAGAAUAAAGGUCCAGUCGGUCUCGCCACUACUGCGACCAAGCCACGUCAUUCUCUUGACGGCAUUUCUAGAAGAAUAAAGGUCCAGUCGGUCUCGCCACUACUGCGACCCAGCCACGUCAUUCUCUUGACGGCAUUUCUAGCAGAAUAAGGAUCCAGUCGGCCUAGCCACUACUGCGACCCGAGCCUUUCAACUAGCACACGACAAUUCGAUACCGAUCCCUAGAUACUUUACAUUUCACUCACAUAAUCCAAUUACGAUAUUAACCAUUAACAAUCCAAUUUCAAUGCCAAACUUGACACUUGGAAUUUUCUAAAUAAAAUCCAUACUUUUCACAAUCCAUACUCAAUUUAUAAUAUCCAAUCAUCAAUUUCAAAAUCUGACUAUACAGCAGCGACCGGCACGAAAUUCUGAGAAUUUAGGGUCAAUUUAAAAAUUAAUUAAAUUUAUUCCGAAAAUAAUUAAAUAAUAAUCUUUUAAUAAUUUCGAAUAAUAUAAUAUUAUUAAAUUAUUAAAAAAUUUCGAAAUAUUUAAAUAAAUCAAAAGUAAAUUCCUUUAUGUCACAUCACAUUUUAUAUUAAUAUAAUCACCCACUUAACCUUAAAUUAAACACAAUUUAAGUUAAUCAAACACCUUAAUAUAAUCUACACUUAAAUAAAUUAAACUAACCACCUAAUAACACUUAAUAUAAACUAAGUAUCCAUAAAGCAUCAUUAACCUUCUAAUCAAGGUUUAGUGAGUUAAACUCACCGGAUUAGCGAGCCGAGCGGACCAAAACGACAGGGACGCCGAUGAGAACAACUUUCCUCAAAGUGGGCCGAGCAUCCGGGCUCGGGAAGGUGGCCAAAACGGGCCAAAACUCCGCUGCAAUACCCAUUUUUGCAGCUACUGAUUUGGGGCUGGAGGAGGCGGAUCCGGCGCCGGUUCGGGUCGGAAAGGGCGGAGGAGGACCGGCGGCAGCUUGGUCGGGCUGAAGGGGAGGUCGACGGCGGCGGAGGGAGCUCCGGCGAAGGCCCGAGCUGCUGGAACGCGGGCUGGCGCGGACGAGGGCGACGAGCAGGCGAGCUGACCGGCGGAGCAGCGUGCGGACGGCGCGCGAGCGGCGAACGACAGUCCGGCUCCGGCGGAUUGCUAUUCGAUCUUCGCUGCUGCUUUCGCUCUCAGAUCUGCUGGAGACGUCGAGUAGAAACCGGAGACGGAGAAGAGAGGAGAGAGGGAGGCUGAGGUCCGAGCGGCGAGGCGCGACCGCGACGGCGGGCAGACGGGCGAAGGCGGCGACGGCUCCGGCUGCAGGCUUCUGGUUGCUGGGUUCGAAGCCGGAGAAGAAGAUGGAGAUGGAGAGUGGUCGCACGGGAGAGAGGAAGAAGAGAGGGAGGAGAGAGAAGGAGGGGGGCCCUUUUCAUUUUCUUUUUCUCUUUCUUUUAUCCAACUAAAUGGCCCACCAUGACAUCAUCCCAUGUCAUCUUCCACUAUCUCUUCUCCCACAACAUUCUUC